GCAUGGAUGAAUUCUGCAUUUUCUUGCUGUAGUUUCUGCAGUCAGACACCAUGCUAAAAUAAAUCUCAGCUGAGCGUUUUCAUAUGACAUACAAAUCAAUUGUAUGCACACGGAUAGCACAGCAGAGUACAAAU